AUUCCUACGGGAGGCAGCAGUGGGGAAUUUUCCGCAAUGGGCGAAAGCCUGACGGAGCAACGCCGCGUGAGGGAUGAAGGCCUCUGGGCUGUAAACCUCUUUUAUCAAGGAAGAAGAUCUGACGGUACUUGAUGAAUAAGCCACGGCUAAUUCCGUGCCAGCAGCCGCGGUAAUACGGGAGUGGCAAGCGUUAUCCGGAAUUAUUGGGCGUAAAGCGUCCGCAGGCGGCCCUUCAAGUCUGCUGUUAAAAAGUGGAGCUUAGCUCCAUCAUGGCAGUGGAAACUGUUGGGCUUGAGUGUGGUAGGGGCAGAGGGAAUUCCCGGUGUAGCGGUGAAAUGCGUAGAUAUCGGGAAGAACACCAGUGGCGAAGGCGCUCUGCUGGGCCAUCACUGACGCUCAUGGACGAAAGCCAGGGGAGCGAAAGGGAUUAGAUACCCCUGUAGUCCUGGCCGUAAACGAUGAACACUAGGUGUCGGGGGAAUCGACCCCCUCGGUGUCGUAGCCAUCGCGUUAAGUGUUCCGCCUGGGGAGUACGCACGCAAGUGUGAAACUCAAAGGAAUUGACGGAAUCGUCGACAUGC
rnacentral:rRNA from 1 species